GACCACUCCGGUGACCUAAUGGUUAGAGCGUCCUCCUCAAAUGCGGGAGGUCAUGGGUUCGAACCCCGGCCAAGUCA